rnacentral:lncRNA from 1 species
GAAAGAAAAAGGUUUUAAGUUUUUUUAUUUAAGAAAAUACUUGAACUGUCUUACACAACUAAAUUAAGUAUUUAAACAACAUGAAGAGUGCCAGCGUCAGGACAUAAGCAUUAAUUUUACUGACUUGCCUCAACAGAUAAUAAAUAUUGAUUUAAUGGUGACCAAACACAUUGGCAAUAGCAACUAAAGUACCAUACGAUGGUCAGUUGGGGAUAAUCUCCUCUAAAAUGAGAACAAAUCCUUGAGUCCAUUCCUUUUAGCAGAAACAAUUAAAACCAUCUUGGUAGAACCAGGUCUCGGCAAAACACACCACAUGUAUGGAAGGCUUCAAGAGAAUGAAGAACCCACAAGCUUGAAGAAGCCUCCAGAGUUCUCUUCAGGAUCAACAAGGUGCUUGUUAUCAUCGUGGUCCUCUGUAUGAGUAUCAAUAUUAGAGCACUGUGAAUGUAGUAGUAAAGGGUGUUGAGUCCAGAGAAAUCCUAGGGGGGUCAGCAAGACUGGCACGUUACACAGUCCAAUACUUACCAGUAAAAUAACCACACUCACCCAUAAAGGCUGCUGAUCUAUGCAUGUCUCUGCUUUCAGGAAAAAUUUAAUCAUGGUAAUUCAUGUAAAGCACUGUGUCAGGUCUCUGGACUAUGAGAAAGCCACAUUCCUUGAAUUCAGAAGUUUGAUCAAAUUAUAGAGAAGUGUUUAAUAACAGCAGCAACCACCACUUGAAGGUUUACUACGUACCAGGAACUUUCCGUGCUUUACCUCAUUUAAACCAACAAUACCCUAUGAGGUAGGUACUAUCAGACCCGGGCUACAGAUAAGAAAACCAAAGUGCACAGAGAUUAAGUGAUUUAUUACGUGAUUUAUUGUGGAACUGAGACUUGAAUCCAGGCAGUCUGGAUUAGUUAGUUAGUUGUGUUACAGAGGUACAAGCAAAAGAGAAACACAGCACAAAGAAUUAGAUUAUUUAAAAUACGAGAGGGAUUAAAGAAACUGCAAGGGGGAGGUCAUACAGGCACAGCGAAGACAGAGAGCAAGGUGUAGUCAAAGAAAGAAGAUGGUUUGUCAGUAAAAAGUGAAAAGAGAAUGAUGGGAAAUCAAACUGAAGAGAUAGCCUGAAGUCAGGUCAUUAAGGGUUUUCAAUAUUAUGCUAAAGAAGCUUGGCUUUCAUUCUGUAACUGUGGGCAUAACAGGAACUCAAGUGAAGAAAUGAAAAGUGUUCUGUGUUAAGAUUAUUUUGGCAGAAAUGAUUUGGGCCAACUGACUUAGAUGGAGAUUAGUUGAAGAAACACUAAUUCAAGUGGCUAUAGAAUUUGAAGAACUGUCCUAGGUCAACAACUGCCCAAGGCCUAUUUGUCAAACACAUUCUUUUCUACAGUAUUGAGUGUCCCGCUGAGACCUAGUUAUGUGACUUGGGGAAAGUUAAGAAGCCUUUGAAUCCUUGAUUACUUCAUCUGGAAAAUGGAAACACUGAACAUGCUUUUAGAUUUCAUCCAGCUCUGAAAAUUUCAGUCUCCUGAAGAAUUUCAUCUUGAGAUUUAAUCUUGG